GACGAACGCUGGCGGCGUGCCUAAUACAUGCAAGUCGAACGAAAGCGCCCGGUGCUUGCACUGUUCAAUAUAGUGGCGAACGGGAGAGUCACACGUGGGUCCCCUGCCCAUCAGAGGGAGAUAACAUGCGGACACGGAUGAUAAAACCGCAUAAGUCUUCGCACCGCGUGGUUUGAAGAGGAAAAGCGGCGGAUGGGUCUGGUGUUGGGUGUACCCGGGGUGCUUUAGCUAGUUGGUGUGGUAACGGCUCUCACAGGCCGUGAUGCAUAGCCGACCUGAGGGGGUGAUCGGCCGCAUUGGGACUUGACCACGGCCCAAGCGCCUACGGGAGGCAGCAGUAGGGAAUGUUCCGCAAUGGUCGCAAGUCUGACGGAGCAACGCCGCGCGAGUGAAGAAGGUUUUCGGAUCGUAAAACUCUGUUGUGAGUGAAGAACAAUUGCUAGAUGAACUGAUGGCGGCUUGACGGUAACUAAUCAGAAAGCCACGGCUAACUACGUG
rnacentral:rRNA from 1 species